rnacentral:lncRNA from 1 species
GUGCCUUUUGUGCUGUCUCUACAUUCAGAUAGUCUGUUAGUCUGUUUUUCUGGAUGUGUUUUCUUUCUCCGUGUAAUUGAAACUUUCUUGAAGUGUUCAGAAGGAAGAUUGUAUCACUGUGCUCUCCCUGUCAUUAUCUCUGAGAGGGUGCUGAGAAAAGCAGAGAUUCUGAUGUGCUUUCCCACAGCACCAUAUUCUGCAUGAUUAUUUAAUUUAUUCCUUCUGCAAAGACACCAGGCUCAAUAAACCUGAAGGUAUUCUCCUGCCCUGGGAUGUUGUUCUUGCUCAUCUCUCCCUGAGCUUAGAGGAUGAGAAGUGUCAAGGCAGAAAGCUAACUGAUACAUGACAGAGUUUUAAAAUUUUGAGUUUCCUGGAGAAUGCAAAUUGUUUCCUUUUAGUACCUGACAGUGCAACACAAGUAACUUGCCAUGGCAAGCAGCUUAUGAGGCAGAAAAAAGUGAUCAUCACCAGGUGCUUUGUUACUGUCGCAAGGGAAGAGGCUGAGGCCUUGUCCUUUUUGCUCACUGUUGAGCUGCACACCAUCUAGGUAAGCUGUCAGUAGAAGUUUAUGUUGUAUUUGGUGCAAGUUAGCUGAUGCGUGAGCCUCUUUGAUACUUGGAUCAAAACUGAAGUGCAGUCAGAAGGAAAGAAGGAAGUGCUCAGAAGAAUUGAAACAAAGCUGGAUUCUCAGAAGCACAAGGCCUAAUCCAUAUCCGCAACAAGCUGACGCAACUCUGCAGAUGCCAGUUGCACUAAAAGAGACACAGCCACAACAGAUGUUACCAAUGCAUACCAUCAUCCCAAGAGUCUGGGGCUCACAGAGAUACAUAAAACUUGGAACAGAAGUGCAACAGAGAGACCACACAGAGGAAAAAGACCGGAGCGUACUUCUAACAGCUCUCCUGCAGCUAUCAGCACAUGCCAGUGGACUUGUUAUAGCACGUUGAAGGGCGCAUUCUUGCUGGCUCACUGGGGUCUGAUCCAAAGCUUACUGCAGGCAAUGGGGAAGAUUCAUGGACUUCAGUGGCCUUUGGACUGCCCUGUGGACACAGAAGCACAAUGGCUAGGAUCUGCACAGCUGAAAACUCAGCUCAGGAACUGGGAGUUUCUGUUAAACCACUGCAGGAGUUUACCCCAGGGUCUCUUCUACGGUGUUUCAAGUAAAGAGGACGCUGGGAUGGAAUGUUUAGCUCACAGUAUAAUCGCACAGUGA